rnacentral:rRNA from 1 species
AUGCACGCUGGCGGCGUGCCUAAUACCUGCCAGUCGCGCGAACAGACGAGGAGCUUGCUCCUCUGACGUUAGCGGCGGACGGGUGAGUAACACGUGGAUAACCUACCUAUAAGACUGGGAUAACUUCGGGAAACCGGAGCUAAUACCGGAUAAUAUAUUGAACCGCAUGGUUCAAUAGUGAAAGACGGUUUUGCUGUCACUUAUAGAUGGAUCCGCGCCGCAUUAGCUAGUUGGUAAGGUAACGGCUUACCAAGGCGACGAUGCGUAGCCGACCUGAGAGGGUGAUCGGCCACACUGGAACUGAGACACGGUCCAGACUCCUACGGGAGGCAGCAGUAGGGAAUCUUCCGCAAUGGGCGAAAGCCUGACGGAGCAACGCCGCGUGAGUGAUGAAGGUCUUCGGAUCGUAAAACUCUGUUAUUAGGGAAGAACAAAUGUGUAAGUAACUAUGCACGUCUUGACGGUACCUAAUCAGAAAGCCACGGCUAACUACGUG